AGAACUAUUGUAAUUAAAUCUUUUUAUAUCAAGAAAAUAAAAAAAACACUUUUGAGGCUUUCUUUUCUUUCCCUUUCCUUUAUUGACAUUUCUUAAACAAGUCCCAUCUCACCACUCCAAAAAUCCUAUCCAAACUAGUCUCAAAUUUUAUUUCCCCCAAAAGAUGGGUUUUAGAUCAUGACAUUUUAAAAGACGGCAGUUCGAAUCUCAGACCUCUCGAUCGGCUUUUC
rnacentral:lncRNA from 1 species